UACGUAGGGCGCAAGCGUUGUCCGGAAUUAUUGGGCGUAAAGAGCUCGUAGGCGGUCUGUCACGUCUGCCGUGAAGACCCGAGGCUUAACCUCGUGGCUUGCGGUGGAUACGGGCAGACUAGAGUGAUGUAGGGGAGACUGGAAUUCCUGGUGUAGCGGUGAAAUGCGUAGAGAUCGUAAGGAAGACCAGUGGCGAAGGCGAGUUUCUGGACGGUAACUGACGCUGAGGCACGAAGGCCAGGGGAGCAAACGGGG
rnacentral:rRNA from 1 species